rnacentral:rRNA from 1 species
CGAACGCUGGCGGCGUGCUUAACACAUGCAAGUCGAGCGAUGAAGUUUCUUCGGAAAUGGAUUAGCGGCGAACGGGUGAGUAACACGUGAGGAAUCUGCCCUUCACUUUGGAAUAACUCCGGGAAACCGGAGCUAAUCCGGAUAGGACUCUGGCGGCAUCGCCGGAGUUGGAAAGUUUUUCGGUGUAAGGAUGACCUCGCGGCCUAUCAGCUUGUU